UACGGAGGGUGCAAGCGUUAUCCGGAUUCACUGGGUUUAAAGGGUGCGUAGGUGGACUGGUAAGUCCGUGGUGAAAUCCCCCAAGCUUAACUUGGGAACUGCCGUGGAUACUAUCAGUCUUGAAUACUGUGGAGGUAAGCGGAAUAUGUCAUGUAGCGGUGAAAUGCUUAGAUAUGACAUAGAACACCGAUAGCGAAGGCAGCUUGCUACACAGUCAUUGACACUGAGGCACGAAAGCGUGGGGAGCAAACAGG
rnacentral:rRNA from 1 species